rnacentral:rRNA from 1 species
AUGAAGUACCCGCACCUCCCGCCGCGCCGGGCCGGCCCCUGCGGCUGCGGCUACCUGGCCGCCUUCGUCGCGCUCAUCGUCAUCACCUCGCUCCAGAUCCACCACCACCACCUCAAGGUGGAUCUCGGCAGGUCCGACUACGCCGCGGCCACCGCCACGCAGCAGCGGCGCAGGGAGGGGGACGGCGGCAAGGCGGCGGCCCGCUGGAACUGGAACCGGAGGACCGGCGCCGAGGGCCUGCCGCGCGGGAUCGUCCAGACCAGCUCCGACAUGUUCCUCCGUCCGCUCUGGGACCCCGCCGCCAGCCGCGCCAUCCCCAAGAAUAAGAAUGAUAGACACAAAGCUCUCCUGGCGAUGGCGGUCGGGAUCUCGCAGAUGCAGAAUGUGGACGUAAUGGCUCGUAAGUUUCUGAAUGAGAGCUACACGGUCAUGCUGUUCCAUUAUGACGGGAACGUGGAUGGGUGGCGUAGCCUCGAGUGGAGCGAUAAGGCCAUACACAUAGUUGCGCCCAACCAAACUAAAUGGUGGUUUGCCAAGCGUUUUCUGCAUCCUAGUGUUGUGGCUAUCUACGAUUUCAUCUUUUUGUGGGAUGAAGACCUUGGUGUGGAGAACUUUGAUCCGAAGAGGUAUAUUGAUAUAAUGGUGUCCGAAGGCUUAGAAAUCACACAACCCGCAUUGGAUCCUGAUCUAUCAACAGAUAUUCACCACCGCAUCACAAUCCGCAACAAGAUGACAAAAGUGCAUAGGAGAGUAUAUGACAAUCGUUCAAGCAUGAACUGUUCUGAUGAUAGUAAAGGACCUCCAUGCACAGGGUGGGUUGAGGGCAUGGCACCAGUUUUUUCUCGUGCUGCCUGGAAAUGCGUAUGGCAUCUAAUACAGAAUGACUUGAUUCAUGGAUGGGGCCUUGACAUGAAGCUUGGUUAUUGUGCUCAGGGUGAUCGAGCUGAGAAGGUCGGUGUAAUUGACAGUGAGUAUGUCGUCCAUCAAGGGAUACCAUCAUUAGGAGGACCAUCAGAUACCAGCAAGUUACCUCGAAGAUCUUUGGAUUUGCGGACACACAUUAGAAGACAGUCGUCGGCAGAGCUGGAAAAGUUCAAAGAACGGUGGGAAAAAGCCGUAAGGGAAGAUGAGGAGUGGAUGGAUCCUUUUGACGCCUGA